ACGGGUGCGUAACGCGUGGGAAUCUGCCCCUUGGUUCGGAAUAACAGUUGGAAACGACUGCUAAUACCGGAUGAUGACGUAAGUCCAAAGAUUUAUCGCCGAGGGAUGAGCCCGCGUAGGAUUAGGUAGUUGGUGUGGUAAAGGCGCACCAAGCCGACGAUCCUUAGCUGGUCUGAGAGGAUGAUCAGCCACACUGGGACUGAGACACGGCCCAGACUCCUACGGGAGGCAGCAGUGGGGAAUAUUGGACAAUGGGCGAAAGCCUGAUCCAGCAAUGCCGCGUGAGUGAUGAAGGCCUUAGGGUUGUAAAGCUCUUUUACCCGGGAUGAUAAUGACAGUACCGGGAGAAUAAGCUCCGGCUAACUCCGUGCCAGCAGCCGCGGUAACACGGAGGGAGCUAGCGUUAUUCGGAAUUACUGGGCGUAAAGCGCACGUAGGCGGCUUUGUAAGUAAGAGGUGAAAGCCCAGAGCUCAACUCUGGAAUUGCCUUUUAGACUGCAUCGCUUGAAUCAUGGAGAGGUCAGUGGAAUUCCGAGUGUAGAGGUGAAAUUCGUAGA
rnacentral:rRNA from 1 species